AAUAGAUACCCUGGUAGUCCACGCCGUAAACUAUGGAUGCUAGCUGUGACACAUAUCGACCUGUGUCGUAGCGAAGUUAACGCGUUAAGCAUCCCGCCUGGGGAGUACGGUCGCAAGAUUAAAACUCAAAGGAAUUGACGGGGACCCGCACAAGCGGUGGAGCGUGUUGUUUAAUUCGAUGGUAAGCGAAGAACCUUACCCAGGUUUGACAUCCCGAGAAGGCUUCCGAAAGGAAACUGUGCUUUAUUGAACUCGGUGACAGGUGAUGCAUGGCCGUCGUCAGCUCGUGUCGUGAGAUGUAUGGUUAAGUCCAUUAACGAGCGCAACCCUUAUGUUUAGUUGGAUUUUUUCUAAACAGACUGCCCUGGUAACAGGGGAGGAAGGAGGGGAUGAUGUCAGGUCAGUAUUUCCCUUACAUCUGGGGCUACAAACACGCUACAAUGGCCGGUACAAAGGGCAGCCAACCCGCAAGGGGGAGCUAAUCCCAUCAAAGCCGGUCUCAGUUCGGAUUGCAGGCUGAAACUCGCCUGCAUGAAGCUGG
rnacentral:rRNA from 1 species